rnacentral:rRNA from 1 species
GACGAACCGUGCGAACGUUGUUCGGAAUCACUGGGCUUAAAGGGCGCGUAGGCGGGCGGUCAAGUCUGUGGUGAAAUCCUUCGGCUCAACCGGAGAAUAGCUGGAGAUACUGACCGUCUCGAGGGGGGUAGGGGCAUGUGGAACUUCCGGUGGAGCGGUGAAAUGCGUAGAUAUCGGGAGGAACACCUGUGGCGAAAGCGGCGCACUGGACCACAACUGACGCUGAGGCGCGAAAGCUAGGGGAGCAAACAGG